CGGUUCCAAACGGACAAGGGUCUGAAAAACUCAAAGAUCAAUGUGUGUUGUUUAUCAGCUUCAUUUCUUGUUUAACCCACGAGAUUGGAGUUAAAUAACAGCACUACAGAU